rnacentral:rRNA from 1 species
CACUCCUGCGGGAGGCAGCAGUGGGGAAUUUUGGACAAUGGGCGAAAGCCUGAUCCAGCAAUGCCGCGUGAGUGAAGAAGGCCUUCGGGUUGUAAAGCUCUUUUGUCAGGGAAGAAACGGUGAAAGCUAAUAUCUUUUGCUAAUGACGGUACCUGAAGAAUAAGCACCGGCUAACUACGUGCCAGCAGCCGCGGUAAUACGUAGGGUGCAAGCGUUAAUCGGAAUUACUGGGCGUAAAGCGUGCGCAGGCGGUUUUGUAAGUCUGAUGUGAAAUCCCCGGGCUCAACCUGGGAAUUGCAUUGGAGACUGCAAGGCUAGAAUCUGGCAGAGGGGGGUAGAAUUCCACGUGUAGCAGUGAAAUGCGUAGAUAUGUGGAGGAACACCGAUGGCGAAGGCAGCCCCUUGGGUCAAGAUUGACGCUCAUGCACGAAAGCGUGGGGAGCAAACAGGAUUAGAAACCCGUGUAGUCCCAUGAU